UACAGAGGGUGCAAGCGUUAAUCGGAAUUACUGGGCGUAAAGGGUGAGUAGGUGGUAGAUUACGUUAUAUGUGAAAUUUCUGAGCUUAACUUGGGGAGUGCGUAUAAUACUGUUUUACUAGAGUACUGUAGAGGGUGGUGGAAUUUCCGGUGUAGCGGUGAAAUGCGUAGAUAUCGGAAGGAACACCAGUGGCGAAGGCGACCACCUGGACAGAUACUGACACUAAGACACGAAAGCGUGGGUAGCGAACAGG
rnacentral:rRNA from 1 species